GUCCCGGUAGCUCAGUAGGUAGAGCAUCUGACUGUUAAUCAGAGGGUCAGAGGUUCGAGUCCUCUCCGGGACG
rnacentral:tRNA from 1 species